CCUACGGGGGGCAGCAGUGGGGAAUAUUGCACAAUGGGGGAAACCCUGAUGCAGCGACGCCGCGUGAGCGAAGAAGUAUUUCGGUAUGUAAAGCUCUAUCAGCAGGGAAGAAAAUGACGGUACAUGAGUAAGAAGCUCCGGCUAAAUACGUGCCAGCAGCCGCGGUAAUACGUAUGGAGCAAGCGUUAUCCGGAUUUACUGGGCGUAAAGGGAGCGUAGGCGGGAUGCCAAGUCUGAUGUGAAAUACCGGGGCUCAACCCCGGGGCUGCAUUUGAAACUGGCAGGCUGGAGUGCCGGAGAGGCAGGCGGAAUUCCUAGUGUAGCGGUGAAAUGCGUAGAUAUUAGGAGGAACACCAGUGGCGAAGGCGGCUUGCUGGACGGUGACUGACGCUGAGGCGCGAAAGCGUGGGGAGCAAACAGGAUUAGAUACCCGAGUAGUC
rnacentral:rRNA from 1 species